AGCAGCCGCGGUAAUUCCAGCUCCAAUAGCGUAUAUUAAAGUUGUUGCAGUUAAAAAGCUCGUAGUUGAAUUUCGGGGUUAGUAGGUCGGUCAUGCCUCAGGUAUGCACUGGUCUCACUGAUUCCUCCUUCCUGAUGAGCCGUAAUGCCAUUAAUUUGGUGUUGCGGGGAAUCUGGACUGUUACUUUGAAAAAAUUAGAGUGUUUAAAGCAGGCUAACGCUUGAAUACAUUAGCAUGGAAUAAUGGAAUAGGACGUUCGAUCCUAUUUUGUUGGUUUCUAGGAUUGACGUAAUGAUUAAUAGGGAUAGUUGGGGGCAUUAGUAUUCAAUUGUCAGAGGUGAAAUUCUUGGAUUUAUUGAAGACUAACUACUGCGAAAGCAUUUGCCAAGGAUGUUUUCAUUAAUCAAGAACGAAAGUUAGGGGGAUCGAAGACGAUCAGAUACCGUCGUAGUCUUAACCAUAAACUAUGCCGACUAGGGAUCGGAUGAUGUUAAUUUUUUAAUGUACUCAUUCGGCCG
rnacentral:rRNA from 1 species